rnacentral:rRNA from 1 species
CUACGGGACGCAGCAGUGAGGAAUCUUGCGCAAUGGGGGAAACCCUGACGCAGCGACGCCGCGUGGGUGAUGAAGGCCUUCGGGUCGUAAAGCCCUGUCGAGAGGGAAGAAUUGCAUUUAGGUUAAUAGCCUAAUUGUUUGACGGUACCUCCAAAGGAAGCACCGGCUAACUCCGUGCCAGCAGCCGCGGUAAUACGGAGGGUGCAAGCGUUGUUCGGAAUCACUGGGCGUAAAGGGCGUGUAGGCGGCUGAGUAAGUCAGGUGUGAAAUCCCUCGGCUCAACCGAGGAAGUGCAUUUGAUACUGCUCAUCUUGAGGACUGGAGAGGGAGAUGGAAUUCCCGGUGUAGAGGUGAAAUUCGUAGAUAUCGGGAGGAACACCAGUGGCGAAGGCGAUCUCCUGGACAGAUACUGACGCUAAGGCGCGAAAGCGUGGGGAGCAAACAGGAUUAGAUACCCUAGUAGUC